rnacentral:rRNA from 1 species
GGUUAAGCGACUAAGCGUACACGGUGGAUGCCCUGGCAGUCAGAGGCGAUGAAGGACGUGCUAAUCUGCGAUAAGCGUCGGUAAGGUGAUAUGAACCGUUAUAACCGGCGAUUUCCGAAUGGGGAAACCCAGUGUGAUUCGUCACACUAUCAUUAACUGAAUCCAUAGGUUAAUGAGGCGAACCGGGGGAACUGAAACAUCUAAGUACCCCGAGGAAAAGAAAUCAACCGAGAUUCCCCCAGUAGCGGCGAGCGAACGGGGAGGAGCCCAGAGCCUGAAUCAGUGUGUGUGUUAGUGGAAGCGUCUGGAAAGGCGCGCGAUACAGGGUGACAGCCCCGUACACAAAAAUGCACAUAUUGUGAGCUCGAUGAGUAGGGCGGGACACGUGGUAUCCUGUCUGAAUAUGGGGGGACCAUCCUCCAAGGCUAAAUACUCCUGACUGACCGAUAGUGAACCAGUACCGUGAGGGAAAGGCGAAAAGAACCCCGGCGAGGGGAGUGAAAAAGAACCUGAAACCGUGUACGUACAAGCAGUGGGAGCACGCUUAGGCGUGUGACUGCGUACCUUUUGUAUAAUGGGUCAGCGACUUAUAUUCUGUAGCAAGGUUAACCGAAUAGGGGAGCCGAAGGGAAACCGAGUCUUAACUGGGCGUUAAGUUGCAGGGUAUAGACCCGAAACCCGGUGAUCUAGCCAUGGGCAGGUUGAAGGUUGGGUAACACUAACUGGAGGACCGAACCGACUAAUGUUGAAAAAUUAGCGGAUGACUUGUGGCUGGGGGUGAAAGGCCAAUCAAACCGGGAGAUAGCUGGUUCUCCCCGAAAGCUAUUUAGGUAGCGCCUCGUGAAUUCAUCUCCGGGGGUAGAGCACUGUUUCGGCAAGGGGGUCAUCCCGACUUACCAACCCGAUGCAAACUGCGAAUACCGGAGAAUGUUAUCACGGGAGACACACGGCGGGUGCUAACGUCCGUCGUGAAGAGGGAAACAACCCAGACCGCCAGCUAAGGUCCCAAAGUCAUGGUUAAGUGGGAAACGAUGUGGGAAGGCCCAGACAGCCAGGAUGUUGGCUUAGAAGCAGCCAUCAUUUAAAGAAAGCGUAAUAGCUCACUGGUCGAGUCGGCCUGCGCGGAAGAUGUAACGGGGCUAAACCAUGCACCGAAGCUGCGGCAGCGACGCUUAUGCGUUGUUGGGUAGGGGAGCGUUCUGUAAGCCUGUGAAGGUGUGCUGUGAGGCAUGCUGGAGGUAUCAGAAGUGCGAAUGCUGACAUAAGUAACGAUAAAGCGGGUGAAAAGCCCGCUCGCCGGAAGACCAAGGGUUCCUGUCCAACGUUAAUCGGGGCAGGGUGAGUCGACCCCUAAGGCGAGGCCGAAAGGCGUAGUCGAUGGGAAACAGGUUAAUAUUCCUGUACUUGGUGUUACUGCGAAGGGGGGACGGAGAAGGCUAUGUUGGCCGGGCGACGGUUGUCCCGGUUUAAGCGUGUAGGCUGGUUUUCCAGGCAAAUCCGGAAAAUCAAGGCUGAGGCGUGAUGACGAGGCACUACGGUGCUGAAGCAACAAAUGCCCUGCUUCCAGGAAAAGCCUCUAAGCAUCAGGUAACAUCAAAUCGUACCCCAAACCGACACAGGUGGUCAGGUAGAGAAUACCAAGGCGCUUGAGAGAACUCGGGUGAAGGAACUAGGCAAAAUGGUGCCGUAACUUCGGGAGAAGGCACGCUGAUAUGUAGGUGAAGCGACUUGCUCGUGGAGCUGAAAUCAGUCGAAGAUACCAGCUGGCUGCAACUGUUUAUUAAAAACACAGCACUGUGCAAACACGAAAGUGGACGUAUACGGUGUGACGCCUGCCCGGUGCCGGAAGGUUAAUUGAUGGGGUCAGCGCAAGCGAAGCUCUUGAUCGAAGCCCCGGUAAACGGCGGCCGUAACUAUAACGGUCCUAAGGUAGCGAAAUUCCUUGUCGGGUAAGUUCCGACCUGCACGAAUGGCGUAAUGAUGGCCAGGCUGUCUCCACCCGAGACUCAGUGAAAUUGAACUCGCUGUGAAGAUGCAGUGUACCCGCGGCAAGACGGAAAGACCCCGUGAACCUUUACUAUAGCUUGACACUGAACAUUGAGCCUUGAUGUGUAGGAUAGGUGGGAGGCUUUGAAGUGUGGACGCCAGUCUGCAUGGAGCCGACCUUGAAAUACCACCCUUUAAUGUUUGAUGUUCUAACGUUGACCCGUGAUCCGGGUUGCGGACAGUGUCUGGUGGGUAGUUUGACUGGGGCGGUCUCCUCCUAAAGAGUAACGGAGGAGCACGAAGGUUGGCUAAUCCUGGUCGGACAUCAGGAGGUUAGUGCAAUGGCAUAAGCCAGCUUGACUGCGAGCGUGACGGCGCGAGCAGGUGCGAAAGCAGGUCAUAGUGAUCCGGUGGUUCUGAAUGGAAGGGCCAUCGCUCAACGGAUAAAAGGUACUCCGGGGAUAACAGGCUGAUACCGCCCAAGAGUUCAUAUCGACGGCGGUGUUUGGCACCUCGAUGUCGGCUCAUCACAUCCUGGGGCUGAAGUAGGUCCCAAGGGUAUGGCUGUUCGCCAUUUAAAGUGGUACGCGAGCUGGGUUUAGAACGUCGUGAGACAGUUCGGUCCCUAUCUGCCGUGGGCGCUGGAGAACUGAGGGGGGCUGCUCCUAGUACGAGAGGACCGGAGUGGACGCAUCACUGGUGUUCGGGUUGUCAUGCCAAUGGCACUGCCCGGUAGCUAAAUGCGGAAGAGAUAAGUGCUGAAAGCAUCUAAGCACGAAACUUGCCCCGAGAUGAGUUCUCCCUGACUCCUUGAGAGUCCUGAAGGAACGUUGAAGACGACGACGUUGAUAGGCCGGGUGUGUAAGCGCAGCGAUGCGUUGAGCUAACCGGUACUAAUGAACCGUGAGGCUUAACCUU